rnacentral:misc_RNA from 1 species
UAAUAAGUGCUUUUAUGGCACUUUUUUAAAUCCAUAUCCACCUUGUGUGCAAUGUCAGUCGAUCUUCUUUCAUGGAGAUCGGACCAAACAUCAACCAUUAUCUUUUAACUCUUUGUCUGAAAAAAUAUUAUGAAUAAACAAUUCAAAAUA